rnacentral:rRNA from 1 species
GUGGGGAAUCUUCCGCAAUGGACGAAAGUCUGACGGAGCGACGCCGCGUGAGUGAUGAAGGCCCUUGGGUCGUAAAGCUCUGUCAUCAGGGACGAACGGUCACGUCAGGAAAUGGGCGUGAAUUGACGGUACCUGAGAAGGAAGCCACGGCUAACUACGUGCCAGCAGCCGCGGUAAUACGUAGGUGGCGAGCGUUGUCCGGAAUUAUUGGGCGUAAAGCGCGCGCAGGUGGGAUCUUAAGUCUGUUCUGAAAGUUCGGAGCUUAACUCCGUGAUGGGAUGGAAACUGGGAUUCUUGAGUAUCGGAGAGGAAAGCGGAAUUCCCCGUGUAGCGGUGAAAUGCGUAGAUAUGGGGAGGAACACCAGUGGCGAAGGCGGCUUUCUGGACGAUGUCUGACACUGAGGCGCGAAAGCCAGGGGAGCGAACGGGAUUAGAAACCCCUGUAGUCC